rnacentral:ncRNA from 1 species
UACCGGUACCGGGGUGCCAAGUGUUUAUCUUGUGCUGAGAUAAUACCCGAAAGUUUUCCGUAUGGAAAACUUAAAACCUGAUCCGGAUAAUACCGGCGGAGGAAGUUAUGAAAAAACUCUA